CAUCCCGGACGCGUCAUGACGUCACGCAUCACGCGGCGCAAAGGGGGCGGGGCUUUGAGGAGACGUGACUCAGCGUAAAUGUGAAUGAAGAAUCGAGAAAAAAAAAAACUGGAGAAAAAUAUAAUAAAAUCGAUUUACAGUGUUGGGGAGUAACAGAUUACAUGUACCAGAGUUACUUAAUCAGAGUACAAAUUAUGAGUAACUGUAUUCAGUUACAGUUACUGAUUCAGUGAGUGGUAAUUGGAUUACAGUUACUUUGUUGGAAUAAAUGGAUUACACAGAGAAGACUGAAGUUCAUCUGCCAGAAGUUCCUGCUGAUGUUCUACCAGACCGUCAUCUCCAGUGUCCUCUUCAACGCUGUGGUCUGCUGAGGAGGAGGAAGUCUCAAGAGGAAGGACGCUGGGUGGUUGGAUGAGCUGGCGAGGAAAGGCUGGAUCUGUGUUGGGUGCAGAGCCUGACUCAUUCACAUCAUCAUGACGCAGCACCAUCAGGGAACAGGAGAGCACCUGUGGAGAGAGUCUGUUGUCCUUGUCCUGCUCUGCCACACGCCUGUACAACGCUUCACUGUAACUGAACUGAUGUUAUUCUUAUUAUGUUAUUAUUAUUAUGUAUGUACGGUCCUUCGGGAUAAUAAAGUAUUUCUAAUCUAA